GGAAUUGGCGGUUAACGACAUGCUCACUUUACUUGGACGUUUUCUAAUCGUCUUCUUUGGAAUAUGCUUUCAAGGUCUGUGAAGCCAAACUUGAUGCUGGGGAUAUAUUUUUGUCAGUGGAGUCAAAUGGUCUAGAUGAUCACAUCUGUCUUUGUCAUUUAAAUGAGGUGGACUUGCAAACUUUGCACUCUUUUGGGUAAAUUGCUGUCCACUACAUAUACACAGAAUGUGCACAGUAUUUCAGAUCUAAAAGGGAGUAUGUAAUGGACUUGCUGGCUUUAAUGUAAAAAGCCUGUUGUGUAACUUUAAUGAGGCAGUUGGACUAAAACAGUAUUGCUCAUCAAGGUAAACAUCUGAGGAAUAAGGAAAUUGUUACUUGUCCUUUUACUCAGUGUUCUUUUAAUCGCACGUUUACUAAAGUUUUAUAUCACAUAAGUCAUUUUCACAAUCAUUCUACUUUAAAAGAUUUCAAGACAGAGCUUAUUGUUCUCUGAACUUCCUUGUUUGCUGAACGGCAGGUAAAGUGCAUCUUUUUGUUUGUUUGCUUUUGUGUGUUUGUGUUUUCUCUAAUGGGCCUCAGAUGACUGUUUGCUUAAAUUUGGGUCUCAAAGAAUCUUUUUUUCAUUCUGCCUGUACUCUCCACCCCUCUUCUUCUAUUGCUCAGGUUGAAGCAGAAUUUGCCCGUCUUACAUCUGUUGACCUGAAAGGGUUCCUUUUUGCUGUGCUUGACCAUUAUGGAGAGGUUCGUGGAGCUGUACAAAAUCAAGAGCGGCAUAGGAGGGCUGACUAGGCUCAUAAAAUGCUUCAAUGAUGAUAGCCCUACACAAAGGAAGAG
ensembl:lncRNA